AACGUGCACUAAAAACGCGCACACAUAGAAACUUAACUCACAGUAUAUAUUUUAUACGUUUACAUACGUAUUUAUAUGGAAAACACACACAUAGGAGAUAGAUAUGAAAUCACACAUAAAGAAAUAAAAAUGUCAAAAACUUUUUUUAACAAUUCUUUUAUCCGCUUAGUCACAUUAAAAAAGAGAGAAAGAUAGAAAGGCGAAUACUUUAACACUGAUUCAAAAAUGUCAAAAGCAUUCAAAGUUUAUCGUAAUCCGCUUUGAGGCUAUACACGCUUCUCCCAAAGGGUUUCUUAUCUGUUGUUACUUAACGGAGAAGAGUAUUCUACUACCCUUUCCUCUCUCUUUCUCUUUCCUCCUUUCUUCCUUCCUUCCUUUCUUUCUUUCUAUCUUUUCUUCUUUCUCUAGGCACGAGUUUCGUGUUUAUUUCGGUGGAAAUCGUUUUCUGGACCACGGUCUGAGUCAGACUGCCCUAGCGGCGUGCGUCCUGCGCGGGAGAGCUCUUGCACACGGCACGACACGACGCGGAGUUUAAUCUCUAUUAAUAAAUACUCGGUGUGUCUGGUCCCUCCGGUCGGAAUAGAGAGCACAGAACAAGAGUAAGAGAGAGAUAGAUAGAGAAAGAUAGAGAGAGAGAGAGAGAGAGAGAGAGAGAGAGAGAGAGAGAAAGAGAGAAAGAGAGAGAGAGAGAGAGAGAGAGAGAGAGAGAGAGAGAGAGAGCUAAUCUAUACACCGAAAUGUAGGAGUACUUUCAAGGAUCUCUAAUUUUUGAAUCCACCACACCACCUGUUUUAUCAAUCUAUACGAUGCUAGAGAGAAGCGUUAUACUACAGUAUAGUAUUGUUGAGGAUAGGAAGUAAGACUCGACAAUAAAAGGGUGCCUUGAGAGGACAUAGUGGGAUCUAAGAAAAAGUCAUGCGGGAAACGAUGACGUAGCUCUUAUGGGGAUCGAAAGUCGACAUCACUCGAGUUCUCCUGUGUACCUUGUUCGAUGUAUUUCCUGAGGGAUUUGUAGGAGAUAUUUAUGUAUUUCAUUUGUUUCCAAUCACUAUAUAUUGUGUAUAUACAUACAUAUCUACAUAUAUACAUGAUAAAUCAUCGAGAUGAUAUCUACUAAGUUUUUUUUCUCGAACAAGCUGAAAGAUAUUUUUAUAAGGCAUCGACUUUUUGAGUCCCAUAUCAAUUAAUAUCUGACUUUAUGUUAACGUCGUUAAUUAUGUAGAAUGAUAUUGCAAUCGCCUUGGGUAUGUAAAUGCGAGUGUGGAUUCGCGAUUUGUUAUAUAAGUGUACAACGACCUUAACACUUAUUGAUUUUCACCAUACAAGUUCCUUGCUACAGUAGCCGAGGACAAAACUAGUUCGUUAAGUAGAAACGAUAACAAAUUUUUCUACAUUUAUGAAGUUUCAUAUCUGCCAAUAUUUUCUCAAAAUUGAAAAACUUUGCAAACUGUUUAACUUUACAAACUGACAAAAAAAAUCAAUUUUAUUAUAUGUACCGAAUAAAUACGUAUGUCUGUAGUUGAUAAAUCUUUUAAUUUAUUCGAGAUGAAUAUUUAUUGAGAAAAGUUAAUGGUUUCUGAACACAUGUUUUGAUAUAUAAAAAACAAUAAGAAAAUAGUUCUAACAUCAAUGAUUGUGUCAUUUAUCAAUUUGAUGUACAAAGCUUGAAAAACAGGAAAAUAAUGUUUCCAAUUAUAAAAGUAAUCGUACUGGCCGUUGUUAUGACCCUUUUUAGAAGAAGGAUACCGUUGAUAAGUAAAGAUAUAUUUGUAAGUAUCGAUUUCCAAUACGUUUCCACCUAUAUAUAUAAGGGAGAAUCAUUGUCUCGAAUUGGAAUAAUAAAAUCUUCGUGUUUAUUACUUUUUUUUUUAUAGCUGAGGCAUAAAUGAUAAUUCGUUUUUCGAUAAGGGUCUUUCUAUCUCGUCUUUCCGAUCGAAUCAUUUUGUCUUUUAAUGAUCGAUCUGGAAUAAUAUGUAUAAACGAUUUUUACUUACCGAUACGUUCUCCGUUGCUACGGACAAUAUCCGUUGCCAGGGCCUAUAAAAGAUAAAAUAAAAUCGAAUUAAUUAAUGAAAAUAUUUAGAUAUGUAUAUAUAUCGAUUAAUCGUCGUGUGAAAAUUUUUUUAUAUUUUUUUCUAUUAAAAUCGUUUUAUGUGGCGCCAAUAAUUCUGAUUUGUUGAUGUCUUUCAUAGUUUCCGACUCGCGAAUCGUUGCUUUAUUUUCAGCCGUUUAUAUACUCGAACAGAAGGGGUUAGUAUUUUUGGACGAAUCAUAGUGCAUUUCCUCUCCGUGACUCAAGAGUCACGAUCCAUUUUGUUAGGAGACUAGAGUUAAAGAAGGGUUCAUGUUUUUAUUAGAAUCUCGAAUAAGCUAAGUAAAAUGUUUAAUAAUGAUGACGAUCAGAAAGAGUAUUAAAAAAAGAAUAUUAAGAAAAAUGAAAAACAAAUAUCUUUUAUAUAGAUCUAUAUUAUAUAUUUCUUGUAUUUGUUGGAAUAUUACGAGUAGAAGUAACUAUUAGGGGGACCAGAAAGUAAUGUUGUUUCUGCGCAUGUCGAUAUUUGAUUGUGAUUAAAAAUAAAAACUUGUUAAAAAUUUAUUCGUUUGAAUUUAAUUUAAGAAAACGACAUUACUUUCCGAUCCACCUAAUAUUUAUUUGCUACAUUUUUCGAGUAUUUUGGAACAUAUUAACAGCAAACUUCUACAUUAUUCUUAU